UUUUAAUUAUGUAUGUGUUCUUGGAUAGCCUAACACAAAAGAUUUGUUCAUUAGGACAGACUUCUAUGUGUGUCCAUUAUUGGUCAAAAUAUGACAUUUUUGUUUAUUAUACUAUGGUUGAGAUGUGAAGAUUUAGCAAAAUUGAUAAAGUAAAUAAAUAAUAACGUAUAAAAGUGAGAAUAAAAUCAUAGCAAUUAAAAUAUUAAAACUCAAGGUUCUAGGAGUAGAAGUAGCACAGAGUACCUGGAGAUGUGGCCCGUUAAGGGACAACUGUCCUCAAGUGCUUCUACAGAUCCCGUACUGCCACAACAGAAUGGCUCAAUGUUUGAGAUAAAAGUUCAGGCAAUGCAGUAAUGGUACACAUAUUUUUUACUUUAGACUCUCCCUUCUUCCUUACUGAAACUGAAUCAGCUACAGGAGUGGCAACUUCAUAGGACCGGAUUGUUGAAAAUUCCUGAAUUCAUUGGAAGAUUCCAGCAUCUCAUUGUUCUAGACUUAUCUCGGAACACAAUUUCAGAGAUCCCCCGAGGCAUUGCUCAGCAAACUGUUAAAACUCACUCACCUUGACCUGAGCAUGAACCAGUUCACCACAAUCCCUCUUGCUGUGCUGGACAUGCCUGCCCUCGAGUGGCUGGAUAUGGGAAGCAACAGCCUUCAACAGCUUCCUGAUACACUAGACAGAAUGCAAAGUUUACAUACACUGUGGCUACAGAGGAAUGAAAUAACAUGCCUGCCAGAGACAAUCAGGAAUAUGAAAAACUUGGGGACUCUUGUUCUCAGCAACAACAAGCUACAAGAUAUUCCAGGCUGCAUGGAAGAAAUGACGAGUCUGAGGUUCGUCAACUUUCGAGACAACCCACUAAGACUGGAAGUGACACUUCCUCCCAGUGAUGACGUAGAUGGAGAGGAAGAACAGGAGUUAUUUGGGCUUCAGUUCAUGCACGCAUACAUACAAGAGUCACGGAGAACAGAAGACCAAGUCAACUGUCUGACUCAUACGCCCAGCUCUACACGGUCUGAUGGAUAAAGUAAUUUAAAGAGUCCCGCUGAAAAGGAAUACUUCGACAACUGGGUGAAUAUUUUUGUGACUAUCAAAAUAUAAUUUAAAAAUAA
rnacentral:lncRNA from 1 species